rnacentral:rRNA from 1 species
AAUCAACGCUGGCGGCGUGCCUAACACAUGCAAGUCGAGCGAGAAAGUGGGGGCAACUCCAUGAGUACAGCGGCGACCGGGUGAGUAACACGUGACUAACCUACCCUUGAGUGGGGAAUAACUCCGGGAAGCCGGAGCUAAUACCGCAUAACACCGUAAGGUCAAAGGAGCAAUUCGCUUAAGGAGGGGGUCGCGGUUGAUUAGCUAGUUGGUGGGGUAAUGGCCCACCAAGGCGAUGAUCAAUAGCCGGCCUGAGAGGGCGCACGGCCACACUGGAACUGAAACACGGUCCAGACUCCUACGGGAGGCAGCAGUGGGAAUUUUGCGCAAUGGGGAAACCCUGACGCAGCAACGCCGCGUGAAGGAUGAAGGUCUUUGGACUGUAAACUUCUUUCGUUCGGGACGAUAAUGACGGUACCGGAAGAAGAAGCCCCGGCUAACUUCGUGCCAGCAGCCGCCGU